rnacentral:rRNA from 1 species
CCUAUGUGUGGCUGCAGUGGGGAAUAUUGGACAAUGGGCGAAAGCCUGAUCCAGCCAUGCCGCGUGUGUGAAGAAGGCCUUCGGGUUGUAAAGCACUUUCAGUGGGGAAGAAAGCCUUGGGGCUAAUACCCUCGAGGAAGGACAUCACCCACAGAAGAAGCACCGGCUAACUCCGUGCCAGCAGCCGCGGUAAUACGGAGGGUGCGAGCGUUAAUCGGAAUUACUGGGCGUAAAGCGCGCGUAGGCGGUCUGAUAAGCCGGUUGUGAAAGCCCCGGGCUCAACCUGGGAACGGCAUCCGGAGCUGUCAGGCUAGAGUGCAGGAGAGGAAGGUAGAAUUCCCGGUGUAGCGGUGAAAUGCGUAGAGAUCGGGAGGAAUACCAGUGGCGAAGGCGGCCUUCUGGACUGACACUGACGCUGAGGUGCGAAAGCGUGGGUAGCAAACAGGAUUAGAUACCCGAGUAGUC